UGGGGAAUUUUGCACAAUGGGCGAAAGCCUGAUGCAGCAACGCCGCGUGUGUGAUGAAGGUCUUCGGAUCGUAAAGCACUUUCGACCGGGACGAACACCCCUUGGCUAACAUCCAAGGGCCUGACGGUACCGGGAGAAGAAGCACCGGCUAACUCUGUGCCAGCAGCCGCGGUAAUACAGAGGGUGCAAGCGUUGUUCGGAAUUAUUGGGCGUAAAGCGCGUGUAGGCGGCUUUGCAAGUCGGGUGUGAAAGCCCUCAGCUUAACUGAGGAAGUGCGCCCGAAACUGCAUGGCUUGAGUACCGGAGAGGAUGGUGGAAUUCCCGAAGUAGAGGUGAAAUUCGUAGAUAUCGGGAGGAACACCGGUGGCGAAGGCGACCAUCUGGACGGAUACUGACGCUGAGACGCGAAAGCGUGGGUAGCAAACAG
rnacentral:rRNA from 1 species